AAAUUGAAGAGUUUGAUCAUGGCUCAGAUUGAACGCUGGCGGCAGGCCUAACACAUGCAAGUCGAACGGUAACAGGAAGCAGCUUGCUGCUUCGCUGACGAGUGGCGGACGGGUGAGUAAUGUCUGGGAAACUGCCUGAUGGAGGGGGAUAACUACUGGAAACGGUGGCUAAUACCGCAUAACGUCGCAAGACCAAAGAGGGGGAUCUUCGGGCCUCUUGCCAUCAGAUGUGCCCAGAUGGGAUUAGCUUGUUGGUGAGGUAACGGCUCACCAAGGCGACGAUCCCUAGCUGGUCUGAGAGGAUGACCAGCCACACUGGAACUGAGACACGGUCCAGACUCCUACGGGAGGCAGCAGUGGGGAAUAUUGCACAAUGGGCGCAAGCCUGAUGCAGCCAUGCCGCGUGUAUGAAGAAGGCCUU
rnacentral:rRNA from 1 species